rnacentral:lncRNA from 1 species
ACCUAGUUGAUGCCACUGAAGCCAUAGAAGUUGAGGUAAAAGUUUCCGUUGUGGUUGUCGAGGUAGGAAGUGCAAUUGUGGUUGUACUUGUAGGAGCGACAGUUGUUGUAGUAUUAGCUGCAGUUGUCGUAGGGGAUAUUGUUGUUGUCGUAGGUGCAACAGUUGUUGUAAAAGGAGUUUCAGUUGUGGUUGCAGUAAGGAAUGCAGUAGUAGUUGUGGAAGCAGCUACAGUUGUUGCUGUAGGAGCUGCUGCAGUUGUAGUGUUCGUGGGAGCUACAGUUGUUGAAGUAGAAGCUGCAAUUGUGGGGGACAUAGGAGCUACAGUUGUGAUUUCUGUAGGAGCUUCAGUUGUGGUUGUCGUAGGAGGUAAUAUGGUAGUAGGACCUGCAGUUGUGAUUGAUGUAGUAGGUGCUGAACUUGUGGUUAUGGAAACAUCUGCAGUUGUUGUUGUAGCAGAUGCUACAGUUGUAGUUGAAGUUGCAAUUGUGGGGGGCAUAGGAGCUACAGUUGUGAUGUCUGUAGGAGCUUCAUUUGUGGUUGUGGUUGGAGUUAAAUUGGUAGUAGAACCUGCAGUUGAGAUUGACAUUGUAGGAGCUACAGUUGUUGUGGUGGAUGUUGUUGUGGUUGUCAUAGGUGAUACAGUUGUGGUUGUCGAAGGAGGUAAAAUGGUAGUUGGACCUGCAGUUGUGAAUGACGUAGUGGAUGCUGAAGUUGUAGAGGUUGUAGGAGCAAGAGUUGUUUGUGUAGGAGCUGCAGUUGUGAUUGGCAUUGUUGGAGCUACAGUUGAAGAAUUAGCUGCAGUUGUCGCAGGGACUGUUGUUGCUGAUGUUGUUGGUGCUAAAGUUGUUGUAGAAGGAGCUUCAGUUGUGGUUGCAGUAGGGGCUGCAGUAGUAGUUGUGGAAGCAGCUACAGUUAUUGUUGUAGGAGCUGCUGCAGUUGUAGUGGUCGUGGGACCUACAGUUGUUGAAGAAGAAGCUGCAAUUGUGGGGGACAUAGGAGCUACAGUUGUGAUUUCUGUAGGAGCUUCAGUUGUGGUUGUCGUAGGAGGAGAAAUGGUAGUAGGACCUGCAGUUGUGAUUGAUGUAGUAGGUGCUGCACUUGUGGCUUUGGAAGCAUCUGCAGUUGUUGUUGUAGGAAAUGCUACAGUUGUAGUUGAAGUUGCAAUUGCGGAGGGCAUAGGAGCUACAGAUGUGAUGUCUGUUGGAGCUUCAUUUGUGGUUGUGGAUGGAGUUAAAU